AACGAACGCUGGCGGUGCGUCUUAAGCAUGCAAGUCGAACGGUAAGAAGAGAGCUUGCUCUUUUCCUAGAGUGGCGGACUGGUGAGUAACGCGUGGAUGAUCUACCUUUAAGAUGGGGAUAGCUUCUAGAAAUAGGAGAUAAUACCGAAUAACCUUAUCGUGUUAUGACGUGAUAAGAAAAUGGAGCGUUAGCUCCGCUUGAAGAUGAGUCUGCGUCCCAUUAGCUAGUUGGUAAGGUAAAGGCUUACCAAGGCGAUGAUGGGUAUCCGGCCUGAGAGGGUGAACGGACACAUUGGGACUGAGAUACGGCCCAAACUCCUACGGGAGGCAGCAGCUGAGAAUCUUCCGCAAUGGACGAAAGUCUGACGGAGCGACACCGCGUGAACGAUGAAGGCCGGAAGGUUGUAAAGUUCUUUUGCAGACAAAGAAUAAGGAUAGAAGGAAAUGACUAUCUGAUGACGGUAGUUAUGCGAAUAAGCCCCGGCUAAUU
rnacentral:rRNA from 1 species